AUUAAAACGAGUAGGCCUUCAAGAUGGCUGCUUGGUAGACGAGUCAAAACGAAGCGGAGAUUUAUAAAGUGAUUUCCUCGGUUUAUUCAUGGUGAAGGAGGCUGUUACUGUCUGCCUGGCACUUGGCACUCUUCACCGUUCUGCUUUCCGCCUGGAGUGCCACGGGGCCAACAGUGAGUGCCGGGCAGCUGACGGUGGACCUGGUAAUUACCUGUGAGAAGGUGGGCACCACCCAGCCCCUCUGACCACAGCAGCAAAGACCAGUGCCAUGUCUUGCCUGCCCAGUCCCUUGCUGUCAUGCAGACCCCCUCAUAGAAAGUGAGCGACAUAACCUCCUGACUGAGCUGGUCCAGGAGGUGGUGGUCCUGCAAUGCCUAUGAGCAAUGGGACAACAACCAAAUCCCUGGCCACAGCUGCGCUACCUCACCUCCCACACAACAGAGGAGGACGUGCUAGUAGUGUCAAUAAGUAUCAGGACAACAAAAUGGGAUGUCUGGUGCCUGACGGGACAGCUUGGUGGGGUAACAAGAGGCAUGGUGCGUCUGCCUCCCUUCAAAGCAUCUCUGCAUUGCUUUAAGAAUAUUCUGCAAGUUUAAAGCUGAUGAAGGAAGACGUACAGCAGCUAUAGUCACCAUACACUAGGCUGAAGCCCCUGUCCAUAGCUAAGGGAGCUGAUUGCUUAGAUGAAAGGAGGCUCACUUGGGGCCUUGGAGCUGGAGAACACAAAGAAAGAACAAACAACAGCAGACCUGAUGGUUCUUACGAGGCUGUUUGUGACAAGCUACACUAACUAUCUAAUCAAAGGUGGAAGAUGAAGGACAGCAAGAUGAAGAAGCGUCUCUCAGCCCUUCCUCUCGGGUGCCGGCUUUGUCAAACUCUUCAUGGAAAUUUGCACUGACCUCAUCAUGGCAGAGACUGGGCAUGCACAAGGCGACCCAUUGUAGUAGCAGUGUUGUGUUCCCCCAGUGACCUGCCGACCACUGUGCUGCUGAUCAAGUUUGUGGAGGAGGGAGACAGUGCGAUGGGCACAGUCAUGCUGCUCAACUUUCUCAAUGCUUGGAAGGUCCAGGUGAGGAGGAGCAAGCUGCAACAUGGACGAUGCCUUUUCUUGCAAAAACAGGUUUUGUAGCCCAACACCACAGAGGUUGCCAGGAGUGAAAUUUUUAUAUUCAAAAGUGAGAAAGAUUUUGUGUUUGCUCAGUUUUCAAGUAGCCACUGCACAGUGUUCACUUUCUUGCAGUGUUUAACCCUUAAACACAUCCGGGGGUCGGAUCGGACCACACUAUAUUUUCUCAAUGGUAACACAGCCGCCUCAUUGACGCCAGACAGCUGUGAUGCCUGAUAGCUUUUCUGUUCUCUUUGAUGUUGUCGAUGUUGUGUGCAUGCAGCUCUCGCUCUUUCCGUGUCCAGUGUAGAAGCGAUUGGUGCCCGUUUCGACCCCAUGUAUGUGUAUACGU